GGGUUGUGAGGUUAAGCGACUAAGCGUACACGGUGGAUGCCCUGGCAGUCAGAGGCGAUGAAGGACGUGCUAAUCUGCGAUAAGCGCCGGUAAGGUGAUAUGAACCGUUAUAACCGGCGAUUUCCGAAUGGGGAAACCCAGUGUGAUUCGUCACACUAUCAUUAACUGAAUCCAUAGGUUAAUGAGGCGAACCGGGGGAACUGAAACAUCUAAGUACCCCGAGGAAAAGAAAUCAACCGAGAUUCCCCCAGUAGCGGCGAGCGAACGGGGAGGAGCCCAGAGCCUGAAUCAGCAUGUGUGUUAGUGGAAGCGUCUGGAAAGGUGCGCGAUACAGGGUGACAGCCCCGUACACAAAAGCGCAUGUGCUGUGAGCUCGAUGAGUAGGGCGGGACACGUGGUAUCCUGUCUGAAUAUGGGGGGACCAUCCUCCAAGGCUAAAUACUCCUGACUGACCGAUAGUGAACCAGUACCGUGAGGGAAAGGCGAAAAGAACCCCGGCGAGGGGAGUGAAAAAGAACCUGAAACCGUGUACGUACAAGCAGUGGGAGCACAGGUUUACCUGUGUGACUGCGUACCUUUUGUAUAAUGGGUCAGCGACUUAUAUUCUGUAGCAAGGUUAACCGAAUAGGGGAGCCGGAGGGAAACCGAGUCUUAAUUGGGCGUUAAGUUGCAGGGUAUAGACCCGAAACCCGGUGAUCUAGCCAUGGGCAGGUUGAAGGUUGGGUAACACUAACUGGAGGACCGAACCGACUAAUGUUGAAAAAUUAGCGGAUGACCUGUGGCUGGGGGUGAAAGGCCAAUCAAACCGGGAGAUAGCUGGUUCUCCCCGAAAGCUAUUUAGGUAGCGCCUCGUGAAUUCAUCUCCGGGGGUAGAGCACUGUUUCGGCUAGGGGGCCAUCCCGGCUUACCAACCCGAUGCAAACUGCGAAUACCGGAGAAUGUUAUCACGGGAGACACACGGCGGGUGCUAACGUCCGUCGUGAAGAGGGAAACAACCCAGACCGCCAGCUAAGGUCCCAAAGUCAUGGUUAAGUGGGAAACGAUGUGGGAAGGCCCAGACAGCCAGGAUGUUGGCUUAGAAGCAGCCAUCAUUUAAAGAAAGCGUAAUAGCUCACUGGUCGAGUCGGCCUGCGCGGAAGAUGUAACGGGGCUAAACCAUGCACCGAAGCUGCGGCAGCGAACGUAUCACCCAAGACAACUUUACGGAGUUGACGAUUGACGGAGCGAAGCGACGUCAAAGCGUUCAUUAAAGUCGAGUUGGCUUAGGGAUACGUUCGUUGGGUAGGGGAGCGUUCUGUAAGCCUGUGAAGGUGUGUCGUGAGGCAUGCUGGAGGUAUCAGAAGUGCGAAUGCUGACAUAAGUAACGAUAAAGCGGGUGAAAAGCCCGCUCGCCGGAAGACCAAGGGUUCCUGUCCAACGUUAAUCGGGGCAGGGUGAGUCGACCCCUAAGGCGAGGCCGAAAGGCGUAGUCGAUGGGAAACGGGUUAAUAUUCCCGUACUUGGUGUUACUGCGAAGGGGGACGGAGAAGGCUAUGUUGGCCGGGCGACGGUUGUCCCGGUUUAAGCGUGUAGGUGUGUGUUCCAGGUAAAUCCGGUUCACUUUAACACUGAGGCGUGACGACGAGGCACUACGGUGCUGAAGCAACAAAUGCCCUGCUUCCAGGAAAAGCCUCUAAGCAUCAGGUAACACGAAAUCGUACCCCAAACCGACACAGGUGGUCAGGUAGAGAAUACCAAGGCGCUUGAGAGAACUCGGGUGAAGGAACUAGGCAAAAUGGUGCCGUAACUUCGGGAGAAGGCACGCUGACACGUAGGUGAAGUGAUUUACUCAUGGAGCUGAAGUCAGUCGAAGAUACCAGCUGGCUGCAACUGUUUAUUAAAAACACAGCACUGUGCAAACACGAAAGUGGACGUAUACGGUGUGACGCCUGCCCGGUGCCGGAAGGUUAAUUGAUGGGGUCAGCGCAAGCGAAGCUCCUGAUCGAAGCCCCGGUAAACGGCGGCCGUAACUAUAACGGUCCUAAGGUAGCGAAAUUCCUUGUCGGGUAAGUUCCGACCUGCACGAAUGGCGUAAUGAUGGCCAGGCUGUCUCCACCCGAGACUCAGUGAAAUUGAACUCGCUGUGAAGAUGCAGUGUACCCGCGGCAAGACGGAAAGACCCCGUGAACCUUUACUAUAGCUUGACACUGAACAUUGAGCCUUGAUGUGUAGGAUAGGUGGGAGGCUUUGAAGUGUGGACGCCAGUCUGCAUGGAGCCGACCUUGAAAUACCACCCUUUAAUGUUUGAUGUUCUAACGUGGACCCGUAAUCCGGGUUGCGGACAGUGUCUGGUGGGUAGUUUGACUGGGGCGGUCUCCUCCUAAAGAGUAACGGAGGAGCACGAAGGUUGGCUAAUCCUGGUCGGACAUCAGGAGGUUAGUGCAAUGGCAUAAGCCAGCUUGACUGCGAGCGUGACGGCGCGAGCAGGUGCGAAAGCAGGUCAUAGUGAUCCGGUGGUUCUGAAUGGAAGGGCCAUCGCUCAACGGAUAAAAGGUACUCCGGGGAUAACAGGCUGAUACCGCCCAAGAGUUCAUAUCGACGGCGGUGUUUGGCACCUCGAUGUCGGCUCAUCACAUCCUGGGGCUGAAGUAGGUCCCAAGGGUAUGGCUGUUCGCCAUUUAAAGUGGUACGCGAGCUGGGUUUAGAACGUCGUGAGACAGUUCGGUCCCUAUCUGCCGUGGGCGCUGGAGAACUGAGGGGGGCUGCUCCUAGUACGAGAGGACCGGAGUGGACGCAUCACUGGUGUUCGGGUUGUCAUGCCAAUGGCACUGCCCGGUAGCUAAAUGCGGAAGAGAUAAGUGCUGAAAGCAUCUAAGCACGAAACUUGCCCCGAGAUGAGUUCUCCCUGAGACUUAGAGUCUCCUGAAGGAACGUUGAAGACGACGACGUUGAUAGGCCGGGUGUGUAAGCGCAGCGAUGCGUUGAGCUAACCGGUACUAAUGAACCGUGAGGCUUAACCUUACAACGCCGAAG
rnacentral:rRNA from 1 species